GAUGAACGCUGGCGGCGUGCCUAAUACAUGCAAGUCGAGCGAACGGACGAGAAGCUUGCUUUUCUGAUGUUAGCGGCGGACGGGUGAGUAACACGUGGAUAACCUACCUAUAAGACUGGGAUAACUUCGGGAAACCGGAGCUAAUACCGGAUAAUAUUUUGAACCGCAUGGUUCAAAAGUGAAAGACGGUCUUGCUGUCACUUAUAGAUGGAUCCGCGCUGCAUUAGCUAGUUGGUAAGGUAACGGCUUACCAAGGCAACGAUGCAUAGCCGACCUGAGAGGGUGGUCGGCCACACUGGAACUGAGCCACGGUCCAGACUCCUCCGGGAGGCAGCAGUAGGGAAUCUUCCGCAAUGGGCGAAAGCCUGACGGAACACCGCCGCGUGGGUGAUGAAGGUCUUCGGAUCGUAAUACUCUGUUAUUAGGGAAGAACAUAUGUGUAAGUAACUGUGCACAUCUUGACGGUACCUAAUCAGAAAGCCCCGGCUAACUACGUG
rnacentral:rRNA from 1 species